UUAUUUUAAAAGUUAUAGUAUUACCAAAAUAGCCAAAAGAUAGCUUGAUUUUAUGGAGAUAGAUUAUUAAUUCCGAAUAGGACAAUGCUAAUCCAAUCAAAUUAAUUAAAAUCAAGCCAUAAAUUGAAUGAAUAUCUUAAAAAAUAAAUAAAGGGAAAAAGACACUAGGACCUAUAAGAUUUACUUGAAUCAUCACAUCGACUCCUUUGGUUUUAGAAAUAAUCACAUAGAUCCAC
rnacentral:lncRNA from 1 species